UACGUAGGGUGCGAGCGUUAAUCGGAAUUACUGGGCGUAAAGCGUGCGCAGGCGGUUCGUUGUGUCUGUGGUGAAAGCCCCGGGCUUAACCUGGGAAUGGCCAUGGAAACUGGCGAGCUGGAGUGUGGCAGAGGGGGGUGGAAUUCCGCGUGUAGCAGUGAAAUGCGUAGAGAUGCGGAGGAACACCGAUGGCGAAGGCAGCCCCCUGGGUCGACACUGACGCUCAGGCACGAAAGCGUGGGGAGCAAACAGG
rnacentral:rRNA from 1 species